UGCCAGACUCCUACGGGAGGCAGCAGUGGGGAAUAUUGCACAAUGGGGGGAACCCUGAUGCAGCGACGCCGCGUGGGUGAAGGAGCGUUUCGGCGCGUAAAGCCCUAUCGGCAGGGAAGAAGAUGACGGUACCUGACCAAGAAGCCCCGGCUAACUACGUGCCAGCAGCCGCGGUAAUACGUAGGGGGCAAGCGUUAUCCGGAUUUACUGGGUGUAAAGGGGGCGCAGACGGCAGCGCAAGCCAGGAGUGAAAGCCCGGGGCCCAACCCCGGGACUGCUCUUGGAACUGCGCGGCUGGAGUGCAGGAGGGGCAGGCGGAAUUCCUGGUGUAGCGGUGAAAUGCGUAGAUAUCAGGAGGAACACCGGUGGCGAAGGCGGCCUGCUGGACUGCGACUGACGUUGAGGCCCGAAAGCGUGGGGAGCAAACAGGAUUAGAUACCCGCGUA
rnacentral:rRNA from 1 species